rnacentral:lncRNA from 1 species
UGGUUAUAACAAACAUAACAUAAGAUAAGUCAUACAAGGCAUACAUGAUAAAUAGCAGUAAAGUAAAACCAUGGAUAAACAGAAAAAUCACUUGAAUAGAAAUAGCGCUCCAAUGGAGUAUUUAAUUCAAUGCGAAAACAACAAGAAAAUUCCAAAAGUGAUAAACUCUAACUUAGAAACUAUGAAGCUCCGACACGCUAUUCACACGGUAUGUCGCCGUGUCGGAAAUGUGUCCGACACAAAUACGCGUACAAAACAUUACUAACACAUUU